CGAUCAGAAGGUGGAAUCGAACCCCACUCCGCUUUCAAACGGCUACAGGUUUGAAGCCUGCCCCUGAUUCCUUUAGUUCAUCUGGGC